AGUGCUCAGGAUCUGCCGGAAUCCAGGAUGCACCGCCUUCUUGUUGCUGUUUGGUGACUGCCAUGGGGGAGAUUUGGGCUGCCUGGAAUACUUCUGGACUGUUUCACUGCAUGGACUUCAUGCUGAGCUCGGACAGUUGGGGCCCAAGUUUUGCUUGAGUUAAAUCACGGACAGAACUUAAAGAUGCCUCCCAGACCCUCACUGCCCAGCCGCUGUGUCGAAGGGGAAGCCCUUGGCCUGAGGAAUGAUCCAACUAUAGCUUCCCUGACCUGACCUCAAGAAAGAUGCAAGCCUCCUGUAUGACACCAAAGCUUCGUUUGCUCCCACAGCUCUUACCCGCGACUUUCCUAACUCCCAAGGCAUCCCGUGAGCUGUGGAGGACUCCAGCAGUGAGUCAUCAGUGAUCCGAACUGUCUGAUCUCUUGCUAUGUUUGGGGCUUUCCCUCUGUCUCUGAAGACUUUUAGUGGCAUCCCAGAAAUUAAGAACUUUCCCCUGUGCUUUAUGUUUUCUAAUAUCACAUAGCAAAGAUCUACACGGCAGCAUUUGAGUCCAAAUGCUACUGAAUCUUAAUGAUCACUUGUCAAUCUCUAAGUGUCAUUUGGAGCAUCACACAGAGCAACAACAAGUGCUCAUUCUUUUCCGCUAAGAGGAUCCCUUGCAUAAGGACCCCUUUUCCUCAUCUUCAUUUUGAGGGAUGUUCAAAAAAGUGUUUUCAGAAGUCCGUAAAUGGACUAUGAAACUUUUUAUUUGUGUAUUUCUUAAUUUUUAUUUUUUUUAGAGAGAAGAGGUCUUGCUAUAUUGUCCAGGAUGGACUUGAACUCCCAAUCUCAAGCAAUCCUUCUGCCUCUGCCUCUCAAAGUGCCGGGAUUACAGGCAUUAACCACCACGCCUAGCCUGAAUAUAUAUUUUUUAAUUUGAAGAUUUUACUUUUAUAACUUUGACAUAUUGAAAAAAUAAGAUGGCUGUAAAGUUUUGUUCUCUCUCCCAUUGAGAGACAGAGUCUAUUUCUCCCUGGAAGCUAAACUUGGUCACAUCACUUGUUUUGGCCAAUAAGUCACUAGCAAAUAUGGCAUGAGCAGUAGCUUGAGAAAGGUUGUCCCCUUAGGGUUUGUCUUCUCUUGCUGACUUUGGAACUCAGCAGCCAUGGGAAGAAGGCAGGGCUGGUCAGCUAGAAGCUCGACUUAUGCCAUCCCAGUCAACUGCCAAACACGUGAGUGAGGCCAUCCAGGAUCCAGUGACCACAGCCAAAUGAGAGGGCCAUGGCAAGUCUAGUAGAAGAACUGCCCAACUGUGCUCAGCUUGAAUUGCCAAUCCACAGAAUUACGAGCUAACGAAUAAGUGUUGCUUUAAAUCACUAAGUUUUUGGGGGUAGUUUCCUACUUAGUGAAACCUGAGAUGAUGACAGCAUAACAAAAUGAACAUAAGCAUCUCCUGGAGCAUGUGUAUAACCACCUUAUGCUGACGCUGUCACACGCUUCCUAUGUGCAUGUUUGAGAUUGUGUCUAUGAUCUUAUUAAUUGCAUUCAAUUUGCUUAUAAACUAAUGAGAUAAGAGCAGUGCAUGUAACACAUUUGUUCCGAGUGAGGUAAAUGAAGUCCCAGCCCUUUAUACAAAUGGGGUAAGAGGUGAAAUGGGGAAACUGGGAGAAUUGGUGAAGAACUCAGUCAUAACGAGUCACACAAUUUUUCCACAAAUCGUAAUUGUGUCCAUGUGGUUUUAUAAAGGAAAGUGAGCCAUUAAGUAUAAGGAAAUUGUACCUAUGCUUUUAUUUUUACAUGUUCAUGUGCUUAAACAACAUGCUAAUAAAUGCAUAUUUAAAUAACA
rnacentral:lncRNA from 1 species